AGUGGGGUAGGGGGGUCCCUUAACCCGGAUUGUGAGAGGGCUCAGGCCAGGCCAAGGGACCCCACUGGUGCAUG
rnacentral:pre_miRNA from 1 species